GCUGCUCUCUCACUGGAAACUGAAGGAGCCUCCUCGUCUUGACAGUCUUCUUCACCAACAUGACUCCUUCUGUCCACAUGCUGUUUGAUGGACAUCUGCACAUGCCAGAUGGAGGAGGAUGAUGGCUGUGUUUGUGCAUGAGCAGAACACCACAGUAAAGAUGUAACACCAGUCUGUUGGCAGCCUGACUUGAGAAAAUGGGUCUGAGAAAAGAGCACCAACAAGACUGGAUCUGCAGCCUGUCUUGAAAAUCCUGAUGUGAAAACAGACUGAAGAUUUCACAGCAGCUGUUCCAGUCAGCCAAGCUUGGUCAGGAGGAGACACUUAACAGGUAAUGAUCACGAGACUGAACGUCAGAGAUUGGUCCUGUGGAAUUUUUUUAAUUUAUUUUCCCCAUUAGCCAGUUUUUCAUUUGCCAGCAGCCCUUUAUACACUAUGUCCAUUCCAAGCAUAAUAAAUGUGCAUGCACUGUAUUAAAUUGACAUCCUGUCUUUUUGAAAAAAUAAAUAUGUUCAUUUCAGAAGUGUUGUGUAUUUAUUGGAAGAGGGGAUAUUUGAUAGUUUGGUCCUGUUGCAUAAUGAACUCACAUUACUGCAUGGCUGUGUGAUGCUUACAAUAAGCAAACCAUAAACCUGAAACAAAUUCUACACUACAAAUGUUCACUAUUUGGGCCUGUUUUUAAAAUGAAAUG